AGCGAACGCUGGCGGCAGGCCUAACACAUGCAAGUCGAACGACACUUUCGGGGGUAGUGGCGGAUGGGUGAGGAACAUGUGGGAACGUGCCUUUAGGUUCGGAAUAAUUCAGGGAAACUUGUGCUAAUACCGAAUGUGUCCUCCGGGGGAAAGAUUUAUCGCCCUUAGAGCGGCCCGCGUCUGAUUAGCUAGUUGGUUAAGGUAAUGGCUCACCAAGGUGACGAUCAGUAGCUGGUCAGUGAGAAAGAGCAGCCACAUUGACGCUGAGACACGGUCCAGACUCUUGCAGAAGGGAGCAGUGGGUGAUCUAGCACUAUCGGCGAAAGCAAGAAGCAGCCCUGCCGCUUGAAUGAUGAAGUUCUUAAGGAAAAGAAAUUCUUUAACCGGGGGCGAUAAUGACGGUACCCGGAGAAGAAGCACCGGCUAACUUCGUG
rnacentral:rRNA from 1 species